rnacentral:rRNA from 1 species
CCUACGGGAGGCAGCAGUGGGGAAUAUUGGACAAUGGGGGAAACCCUUAUCCAGCGACGCCGCGUGAGGGAAGAAGGUUUUCGGAUUGUAAACCUCUGUCGGUGGGGACGAUAAUGACGGUACCCACGGAGGAAGCCACGGCUAACUACGUGCCAGCAGCCGCGGUAAUACGUAGGUGGCAAGCGUUGUCCGGAUUUACUGGGUGUAAAGGGCGUGCAGCCGGAGAGACAAGUCAGAUGUGAAAUCCACAGGCUCAACCUGUGAACUGCAUUUGAAACUGUUUCCCUUGAGUAUCGGAGAGGUCAUCGGAAUUCCGAGUGUAGCGGUGAAAUGCGUAGAUAUUAGGAAGAACACCAGUGGCGAAGGCGGAUGACUGGACGACAACUGACGGUGAGGCGCGAAAGCGUGGGGAGCAAACAGGAUUAGAUACCCCAGUAGUC